AGAGCAAGAGCCCGGAGAUGGAUUCUGAGACACGAAUCCAGGCCCUACGGGGUGCAGCAGGCGCGAAAACUUUACAAUGCUGGAAACAGCGAUAAGGGAACCUCGAGUGCCAGGUUACAAAUCUGGCUGUCGUGAUGCCUAAAAAGCAUUGCAUAGCAAGGGCCGGGCAAGACCGGUGCCAGCCGCCGCGGUAACACCGGCGGCUCGAGUGGUAACCGUUAUUAUUGGGUCUAAAGGGUCUGUAGCCGGCCGGAUAAGUCUCUUGGGAAAUCUGGCAGCUUAACUGUCAGGCUUUCAGGAGAUACUGUCUGGCUCGAGGCCGGGAGAGGUGAGAGGUACUUCAGGGGUAGGGGUGAAAUCUUGUAAUCCUUGAAGGACCACCAGUGGCGAAGGCGUCUCACCAGAACGGACCUGACGGCAAGGGACGAGAGCUAGGGGCACGAACCGGAUUAGAUACCCGGGUAGUCCUAGCCGUAAACGAUACUCGCUAGGUGUCGGCCACGGUGCGACCGUGGUCGGUGCCGUAGGGAAGCCGUGAAGCGAGCCACCUGGGAAGUACGGCCGCAAGGCUGAAACUUAAAGGAAUUGGCGGGGGAGCAC
rnacentral:rRNA from 1 species